UACGAAGGGUGCAAGCGUUAAUCGGAAUUACUGGGCGUAAAGCGUGCGUAGGCGGUUUGUUAAGUCUGUUGUGAAAUCCCCGGGCUCAACCUGGGAAUGGCAAUGGAUACUGGCAAGCUAGAGUGUGAUAGAGGAUGGUGGAAUUCCCGGUGUAGCGGUGAAAUGCGUAGAGAUCGGGAGGAACAUCAGUGGCGAAGGCGGCCAUCU
rnacentral:rRNA from 1 species